CCGAGAGGAUAGAAUAGUUCAGUGACUCACGUCGCUCGGAUUUCAAAAGUGUGUUUCCUAAUGGAAUUCACCUUUAGUUGUCCGGAGCUGAUCAGCUAAGUGCCUGGUAAAGGAAUGAACCACAGCAAAAGGAAGCAUCAAAGAAAGAUGUGAAGAGUGGUCUACAGAAAGCUUGGUGGACCAGCAUGUGAAGGAUAAAAAGUAAUCACCUUCAUUCCAAAACAAUGUAUUAAGUACUCAGAAUCAGGAGGGGCUAGCAGAGAUGUAAGACAGGCAUUUGUUCUUAAGAAGCUCGCAGUGGUAAAGGUGGAACACACGUGUGGGCACAUAUUUCUGCUACAAGGUGACAAAGGAACUGUGACUGAAGGGACACUGGUGGUGAGAUGUGGUCAGAGCAGUAACAGCCACCUGAAAGCUGGAUGUUUGUAAUUUACAGCCUCAACAUAUGUUAACAUUCAAGAGUAAUUGUCCUACUAUAUUUAGUAUUUACUGGCCUGACCCUUAAUUAACAAUUCCAUCCAAUUUGGAGAACUACAAAAUUGUGAGGUAUAGAAAACUUGGACAGAGUUUUGACAAGAACACUGAGAAAUGUUUGAAUUCAAUAGAGAUGACCCUGGGAGCCUUCGAGAGACAAUGGCCAAGGAAACAGAGCAGCUGGAUACUGGUACUUUCAAGCACCUCAUAGGAAGGUGUCUUCCUCUGUACAGAAGAAGGGCCACAGUCAUUCGCCCUUCCAGAGCAACUGGAGGACAGUCUGAAUUGAACACUUGCCUCAAGAAAGGUUUUCCUGUUUCAUAACGUUUAUAAAGGAUGCCCUGAAGAACUUUCUGCCACUUCUAUUUUCCUAUCAUAUUUGCUUUAGCAAUAUACAACCAGUAACCAAGAGGAAGUAGGACACUACAAAUAAUUAACUGGUCACUCAUCAAUCAACACCCACUGGAUAGCUAACUCUGUACAACCACUAGAUGAGGCUAGGCAGAGGAUACAGAGAUGUCUACGACAUGGCUAGCUGUCUUCUGGUGCUCCCCCACCAGCAGGGGACCAAGGUCAAUUAACUGCCCCAUCUGGCAUGGUAUUAGAGGUACUGUUAAGCAAGGCUAUAAGAAAAAAGCUUUGGUAUGGAAAGAAGAGAGAAAUUACUGCUCCAUAAACCGAAGUGGGAAGGACAGAAUUUAGAUAAGCAUAUAGAAAAGAAAAGGGCAUUCUGAGCAGGAGGAAUAAAGUGGGCAAAGAAAUAGCACGGUGGGGCGAAAGAGACCAGAGAUUGUGUAGCCAAAUGGAAAAUUAAAAAAAGAAAGAGAGAAGAGUAGUUCUGUCAUCAAAAUGUCAGUUUUCAGACAGUUUUCAGAAGUCAUGUGGGCCAUAAUAACAGUGAAGGCUAGUCAAUGACAGUCAUCUCUAAAGCCUUACACCCAAUUCACAAGCAGCUGAUGCAUAAGCAGCUGACAGAGAAUAAUUCCUAAAGCUUCCUUUGUUUUUAUUUUCUCCCCAUGAAAGGGCUUCUUAGAAAUUCCAAAGGGAAAAUCAUUAAAUGGAUUACUGGUUCUUCUCUCCUAACCCAAAUAAAAAGGUAUGCCUGAAAAUGGAAGUACUCUUAGGAGGCUCAUUUCAUGAAGGCUGGUUUCUAUUUGCUCUGGUGUCACUCAUACUUCUCAGGAGAAGUGUUGCUUUGCUACCUGCUCUCAGGGCCCAUGCCAGCAUUCCCCUUGACAGAUGAGUGUCUUUUCAGAGGAAGAAGUAUUUCAUGAUCAAAUAAGUUUUAGGUAACAGUGCAUAGACUCUGUUUCCCACACUGCACAGUAGAAUUUGAAAGAUUUUUGUGAAGGCUGGCAGUAGUAAUCUGCUUAAUUUUCUUUAACCCAUGGUUUCCCACAGAAGUCUCCCUUUGCCCUGGUUUUGGCAGAACAACCUGCUUGUGGCUAUCUUUCAAGUUACUGAUGAUCUUCAGCACACACUCUGGGAGACGUUA